rnacentral:tRNA from 1 species
GGUCUGGUGGUGUAGUUGGUUAUCACGUCAGUCUAACAGCACGGGAACUUCGAAUCUCCCAGCUGGUUCACUGAAGGUCUCCGGUUCAAGUCCGGGCUAGAUCA